UACGUAGGGCGCAAGCGUUUGUCCGGAAUUAUUGGGCGUAAAGAGCUCGUAGGCGGCUUGUCACGUCGGAUGUGAAAGCCCGAGGCUUAACCUCGGGUCUGCAUUCGAUACGGGCUAGCUAGAGUGUGGUAGGGGAGAUCGGAAUUCCUGGUGUAGCGGUGAAAUGCGCAGAUAUCGGGAGGAACACCGGUGGCGAAGGCGGAAUC
rnacentral:rRNA from 1 species